GAUGAACGCUAGCUACAGGCUUAACACAUGCAAGUCGAGGGGAAACGACAUCGAAAGCUUGCUUUUGAUGGGCGUCGACCGGCGCACGGGUGAGUAACGCGUAUCCAACCUGCCCACCACUUGGGGAUAACCUUGCGAAAGUAAGACUAAUACCCAAUGACGUCUCUAGAAGACAUCUGAAAGAGAUUAAAGAUUUAUCGGUGAUGGAUGGGGUUGCGUCUGAUUAGCUUGUUGGCGGGGUAACGGCCCACCAAGGCGACGAUCAGUAGGGGUUCGUAGAGGAAGGUCCCACACAUUGGAACUGAGACACGGUCCAAACUCCUACGGGAGGCAGCAGUGAGGAAUAUUGGUCAAUGGGCGAGAGCCUGAACCAGCCAAGUAGCGUGCAGGAUGACGGCCCUAUGGGUUGUAAACUGCUUUUAUAAGGGAAUAAAGUGAGUCUCGUGAGACUUUUUGCAUGUACCUUAUGAAUAAGGACCGGCUAAUUCCGUGCCAGCCGCCGCCGUAA
rnacentral:rRNA from 1 species